GUUGCCCGCGACGUCACGUCUGGCGCGACCGAGCGGUUGCGCGCAGUGUCCAGGCACGCGGGCUGGUGGCGGAGCAGUGUAUGGCGUAGCAAAGAG
rnacentral:lncRNA from 1 species